CGGGGAAAAUGGUUGUUGUGCACCCGGGCGCCGCGGGGAGGAGGGGCAGCAUUGGCACGAGUGGGCGGAGGGGGUUGCGCGGCGUCUUCCCCUGGGCCGAGCGGAAGGAAGAUCCCAUGACCCUAAAACUCAACCACCGGAGAGCGGCAGUCAGAGCGGCUGCGGAUGCCCUGGCCUGGGAACGGUGUUUUGAGGAGAGAAUGGAGAUCUGUGUGUUGCCCAACUUCAUGGCAAGAUGAAGAGAAGGGACUGGAUCUGCUUGUUCAGAAAUAUUGCAGGCUCAUUUAAGAAUCUAUGGUGGUGUCUGAUAUACUGAAUCAGAAUAAGGAAGUCGGCACAGGCCUCCGCAUUUCCGGAGAGACAGCGUGGUGUUGCUUAGAACGGUGAACAGCACAAGAAAAAAAUACCAAGACGAUGCCCUCGCCUCUUCCCGUAGCCCACAAGCUCAGCGACACCAGCUCAGGUUCCACCAUCCUGGGUACAGAAACCUCGAUUCUAGGGCACAGGCAGGCAAUGGAAAUAGAGAAAUCCUUCGAGGCUGCCUCUUGACCCACUGGGCGAGCCGACACCACCCUUUGGAAGGGGCAGAGAAAAGUGCAGGCGCAAAGGCGACGGUAGUCAUAGUCCCAGGCCUGGCAAACGCCACUUUCUCCGCUCAGAUCAGGAUCCCGCCGCGCUGCCGCCAACCGAGGGGUGAUCUGGCGCGGCAUUGGGAUUAUUUGGUCUCCGGACCCGAUUCGGAUGUCGGAGCUUCGGGAUUGCUGGGUGGAAACGUUUGGGAUUCUGACAGUUGAAAUACAGACGGCAGGAACCAACCAAAAAAAAACAGCUACACGAAACAGACAUUUCGGUUACAA